rnacentral:rRNA from 1 species
GAUGAACGCCGGCGGCGUGCCUAAUACAUGCAAGUCGAGCGAACGGACGAGAAGCUUGCUUCUCUGAUGUUAGCGGCGGACGGGUGAGUAACACGUGGAUAACCUACCUAUAAGACUGGGAUAACUUCGGGAAACCGGAGCUAAUACCGGAUAAUAUUUUGAACCGCAUGGUUCAAAAGUGAAAGACGGUCUUGCUGUCACUUAUAGAUGGAUCCGCGCUGCAUUAGCUAGUUGGUAAGGUAACGGCUUACCAAGGCAACGAUGCAUAGCCGACCUGAGAGGGUGAUCGGCCACACUGGAACUGAGACACGGUCCAGACUCCUACGGGAGGCAGCAGUAGGGAAUCUUCCGCAAUGGGCGAAAGCCUGACGGAGCAACGCCGCGUGAGUGAUGAAGGUCUUCGGAUCGUAAAACUCUGUUAUUAGGGAAGAACAUAUGUGUAAGUAACUGUGCACGUCUUGACGGUACCUAAUCAGAAAGCCACGGCUAACUACGUG